UUUGGGAAGAUAGUUAAAUGUCAA
rnacentral:snRNA from 1 species